ensembl:lncRNA
UGAUCAACGAUGGGGUGGCGUGACGUGUCCCGAAAUUUCAAUUCCAGUCUAUCCAGAAGAGUUUUAUUCCUGUUAUACCGCAGCACUUUGCUAUAGACCUUAGACUUCUCCUUGGUGAAGGAGGUGUGUGACCUGUUUUCUUCUACAUAGUGAAGGAGGUAUGGCUUGUGUUCUUCUAUAUGGUGAAGGAGGUGUGGCUUGUGUUCUUCUAUAUGGUGAAGGAGGUGUGGCUUGUGUACUUUUAUAUAGUGAAGGAGGUGUGGCUUGUGUUCUUCAUAGUGAAGGAGGUGUGGUUUAUGUUCUUCUACAUAGUGAAGGAGGUGUGGUUUGUGUUCUAUAUAGUGAAGGAGGUGUGGCUUGUGUUCUUUUACAUAGUGAAGGAGGUGUGUCUUGUUUUCUUCUACAUAGUGAAGGAGGUGUGGCUUGUGUUCUUUUACAUAGUGAAGGAAGUGUGUCUUGUUUUCUU